CAGGCUUAACACAUGCAAGUCGAGGGGCAGCAUGGUCUUAGCUUGCUAAGGCCGAUGGCGACCGGCGCACGGGUGAGUAACACGUAUCCAACCUGCCGUCUACUCUUGGACAGCCUUCUGAAAGGAAGAUUAAUACAAGAUGGCAUCAUGAGUCCGCAUGUUCACAUGAUUAAAGGUAUUCCGGUAGACGAUGGGGAUGCGUUCCAUUAGAUAGUAGGCGGGGUAACGGCCCACCUAGUCUUCGAUGGAUAGGGGUUCUGAGAGGAAGGUCCCCCACAUUGGAACUGAGACACGGUCCAAACUCCUACGGGAGGCAGCAGUGAGGAAUAUUGGUCAAUGGGCGAGAGCCUGAACCAGCCAAGUAGCGUGAAGGAUGACUGCCCUAUGGGUUGUAAACUUCUUUUAUAAAGGAAUAAAGUCGGGUAUGGAUACCCGUUUGCAUGUACUUUAUGAAUAAGGAUCGGCUAACUCCGUGCCAGCAGCCGCGGUAAUACGGAGGAUCCGAGCGUUAUCCGGAUUUAUUGGGUUUAAAGGGAGCGUAGAUGGAUGUUUAAGUCAGUUGUGAAAGUUUGCGGCUCAACCGUAAAAUUGCAGUUGAUACUGGAUAUCUUGAGUGCAGUUGAGGCAGGCGGAAUUCGUGGUGUAGCGGUGAAAUGCUUAGAUAUCACGAAGAACUCCGAUUGCGAAGGCAGCCUGCUAAGCUGCAACUGACAUUGAGGCUCGAAAGUGUGGGUAUCAAACAGGAUUAGAUACCCUGGUAGUCCACACGGUAAACGAUGAAUACUCGCUGUUUGCGAUAUACUGCAAGCGGCCAAGCGAAAGCGUUAAGUAUUCCACCUGGGGAGUACGCCGGCAACGGUGAAACUCAAAGGAAUUGACGGGGGCCCGCACAAGCGGAGGAACAUGUGGUUUAAUUCGAUGAUACGCGAGGAACCUUACCCGGGCUUAAAUUGCAGAUGAAUUACGGUGAAAGCCGUAAGCCGCAAGGCAUCUGUGAAGGUGCUGCAUGGUUGUCGUCAGCUCGUGCCGUGAGGUGUCGGCUUAAGUGCCAUAACGAGCGCAACCCUUGUUGUCAGUUACUAACAGGUUCCGCUGAGGACUCUGACAAGACUGCCAUCGUAAGAUGUGAGGAAGGUGGGGAUGACGUCAAAUCAGCACGGCCCUCACGUCCGGGGCUACACACGUGUUACAAUGGGGGGUACAGAGGGCCGCUACCACGCGAGUGGAUGCCAAUCCCCAAAACCUCUCUCAGUUCGGACUGGAGUCUGCAACCCGACUCCACGAAGCUGGAUUCGCUAGUAAUCGCGCAUCAGCCACGGCGCGGUGAAUACGUUCCCGGGCCUUGUACACACCGCCCGUCAAGCCAUGGGAGCCGGGGGUACCUGAAGUGCGUAACCGCGAGGAGCGCCCUAGGGUAAAACUGGUGACUGGGGCUAAGUC
rnacentral:rRNA from 1 species